rnacentral:rRNA from 1 species
GCAGCCUGCAACUCGGCUGCAUGAAGCUGGAAUCGCUAGUAAUCGCGGAUCAGAAUGCCGCGGUGAAUACGUUCCCGGGUCUUGUACACACCGCCCGUCACACCAUGGGAGUCGGAAAUGCCCGAAGUCUGUGGCCCAACCUUAGGGAGGGAGCAGCCGAAGGCAGGUCGGAUGACUGGGGUGAAGUCGUAACAAGGUACC